rnacentral:rRNA from 1 species
UACGUAGGGUGCGAGCGUUAAUCGGAAUUACUGGGCGUAAAGUGUGCGCAGGCGGCCGCGCAAGUCGAGUGUGAAAAUCCCCGAGCUUAACUUGGGAAUUGCGCUCGAAACUACGUGGCUGGAGUGUGGCAGGGGAAGGUGGAAUUCCACGUGUAGCGGUGAAAUGCGUAGAGAUGUGGAGGAACACCGAUGGCGAAGGCAGCCUUCUGGGCCAACACUGACGCUCAUGCACGAAAGCGUGGGGAGCAAACAGG